CCUACGGGUGGCAGCAGUGGGGAAUAUUGGGCAAUGGGCGCAAGCCUGACCCAGCACCGCCGCGUGAAGGAAGAAGGCUUUCGGGUUGUAAACUUCUUUUCUCAGGGACGAAGAAAGUGACGGUACCUGAGGAAUAAGCCACGGCUAACUACGUGCCAGCAGCCGCGGUAAUACGUAGGUGGCAAGCGUUAUCCGGAUUUACUGGGGGUAAAGGGCGUGUAGGCGGGACUGCAAGUCAGAUGUGAAAACCACGGGCUCAACCUGUGGACUGCAUUUGAAACUGUAGUUCUUGAGUACUGGAGAGGUAGACGGAAUGCCGAGUGUAGCGGUGAAAUGCGUAGAUAUUAGGAGGAACACCAGUGGCGAAGGCGGUCUGCUGGACAGCAACUGACGCUGAGGCGCGAAAGCGUGGGGAGCAAACAGGAUUAGAUACCCGGGUAGUC
rnacentral:rRNA from 1 species